UGUGACAAUAUUGACAGACUGAGAGCUCUUUCUUGAUCUUAUAGGUGGUGGUGCAUGGCCGUUCUUAGUUGGUGGAGCGAUUUGUCUGGUUAAUUCCGUUAACGAACGAGACCUCAACCUGCUAACUAGCUAUGUGAAGGUAUCCCUCCAUGGCCAACUUCUUAGAGGGACUAUGGCCUUUUAGGCCACGGAAGUUUGAGCCAAUAACAGGUCUGUGAUGCCCUUAGAU
rnacentral:ncRNA from 1 species